rnacentral:rRNA from 1 species
UAGUAACGGCGAGUGAAGCGGCAACAGCUCAAAUUUGAAAGCUAGCCUUCGGGUUCGCAUUGUAAUUUGUAGAGGAUGAUUUGGGGAAGCCGCCUGUCUAAGUUCCUUGGAACAGGACGUCAUAGAGGGUGAGAAUCCCGUAUGUGACAGGAAAUGGCACCCUAUGUAAAUCUCCUUCGACGAGUCGAGUUGUUUGGGAAUGCAGCUCUAAAUGGGAGGUAAAUUUCUUCUAAAGCUAAAUAUUGGCGAGAGACCGAUAGCGCACAAGUAGAGUGAUCGAAAGAUGAAAAGCACUUUGGAAAGAGAGUUAAAAAGCACGUGAAAUUGUUGAAAGGGAAGCGCUUGCAAUCAGACUUGUUUAAACUGUUCGGCCGGUCUUCUGACCGGUUUACUCAGUUUGGACAGGCCAGCAUCAGUUUCGGCGGCCGGAUAAAGGCUCUGGGAAUGUGGCCUCCACUUCGGUGGAGGUGUUAUAGCCCAGGGUGUAAUACGGCCAGCCGGGACUGAGGUCCGCGCUUCGGCUAGGAUGCUGGCGUAAUGGUUGUAAGCGACCCGUCUUGAAACACGGACCAAGGAGUCUAACAUCUAUGCGAGUU